rnacentral:misc_RNA from 1 species
UGUUCGAGCGUCAUUAGUACCAAUCAAGCUUGCGCUUGGUCUUGGGGUAUGCGGUUCCGCAGCCCUUAAAAUCAGUGGCGGUGCCUCGAGCUCUGAGCGUAGUAAUAUUCCUCGCUAUAGAGUCUCGGUGGUGUCUUGCCAGCAACCCCCUAUUUUUACAGGUUGACCUCGGAUCAGGUAGGGAUACCCGCUGAACUUAA